AAUAGAUACCCCGGUAGUCCACGCCGUAAACGAUGGAUACUAGCUGUUUGAGCGCAAGUUUGAGUGGCUAAGCGAAAGUGAUAAGUAUCCCACCUGGGGAGUACGGGCGCAAGCCUGAAACUCAAAGGAAUUGACGGGGGCCCGCACAAGCGGUGGAGCAUGUGGUUUAAUUCGAUGGUACGCGAGGAACCUUACCAGGGCUUAAAUGUAGAUUGACGUAUUUGGAAACAGAUAUUUCUUCGGACAAUUUACAAGGUGCUGCAUGGUUGUCGUCAGCUCGUGCCGUGAGGUGUCAGGUUAAGUCCUAUAACGAGCGCAACCCCUGUUGUUAGUUGCCAGCGAGUAAUGUCGGGAACUCUAGCAAGACUGCCAGUGUAAACUGUGAGGAAGGUGGGGAUGACGUCAAAUCAUCACGGCCCUUACGUCCUGGGCCACACACGUGCUACAAUGGCCGGUACAGAGAGCAGCCACUUAGCGAUAAGGAGCGAAUCUAUAAAGCCGGUCACAGUUCGGAUCGGAGUCUGC
rnacentral:rRNA from 1 species